rnacentral:rRNA from 1 species
UGGGGAAUUUUCCGCAAUGGGCGAAAGCCUGACGGAGCAAUACCGCGUGAGGGAGGAAGGCUCUUGGGUUGUAAACCUCUUUUCUCAGGGAAGAACACAAUGACGGUACCUGAGGAAUCAGCAUCGGCUAACUCCGUGCCAGCAGCCGCGGUAAUACGGAGGAUGCAAGCGUUAUCCGGAAUGAUUGGGCGUAAAGCGUCCGCAGGUGGCGAUGUAAGUCUGCUGUUAAAGAGUGAGGCUCAACCUCAUAAGAGCAGUGGAAACUACAUAGCUAGAGUGCGUUCGGGGCAGAGGGAAUUCCUGGUGUAGCGGUGAAAUGCGUAGAUAUCAGGAAGAACACCGGUGGCGAAAGCGCUCUGCUAGGCCGCAACUGACACUGAGGGACGAAAGCUAGGGGAGCGAAWGGGAUUAGAUACCCCCWGUAGUCA